ACAGGCACAGUUAGGCCUCAGGCCUCUUCAACAGAUUAUCUAAUUUGCACUGGAUUAUAUGGCAGUGUAGACUCAAGGCCCUUCCACACAGCUAUAUAACCCAUUUAGAAUCUUAUAUUAUCUGCUUGGCACUGGAUUAUAUUGACUCCACACUGUCAUAUAAUCCACUUCAGUGUGCAUUUUAUACAGCUGUGAAGAAGGGGGCUCAUAUAAUCCAGUGCUAAGCAGAUAAUAUAAGAUUAUAAAUAUACAGUAGAGUCUCACUUAUCCAACAUAAAUAGGUCGGCAGAACGUUGGAUAAGUGAAUAUGUUGGAUAAUAAGCAAUCACAACACAUGGACAACGUAUAAAUACUAUACAAUACUACACAGGGACAUAGACCCCCUCUACUCUCACCACUUUCACAGUACACAAACAACCAAAUGCAUACUAAACAUAAAGACAACCGUACAACAGACAUUCAAUACCACCACUACCUCAACAAUUUCUCACCAACACCACCAGACAAGCCACAGCAAUGCGUGGCCGGGCACAGCUAGUAAUUUAUAUAUAUAUAUUCACAUCUUAAACUUAAACUCAUGUCCCCAAGGUGGCUAAAUAUACAGAUAAAAGCUGUAUACAGCAUUUGUUCACAUUAAUAAAAAACUAAAAUAGCAUAAGUUCAUUUUAAAAAAUCCAUAAAAUAAUCAAAGCUGCUAAAAUUAUUAACAGUUCUUUAAAACAUUGUAAAAUAAAAUUGAAAAGUGAUUUAGCUUAUUGUCUAAAUUAUGGCAAUAACAAAGAGAAAAGAACAAAAACUAAAUGGAUUAACCACUGAAAAGACUUAUAUUUGCAAUUUAAGUCUGUUAUCAAGCUGUAGCUAUGUUUUACUUCAACAAAUAUUGUAAAUUUUCUUUUAAACAAUGGUGGAAUUUUUAGGUUUUUAUUUGUGGUAUAUUGGAUAAGAGAUAUCAUUGCAGUAGUACAAUUUUUGUUACAUUGAUUUGCUAAUUUUUAAACUACAUUAAUCCUUCUGCAUCUGUGGAUGCUGCAAGAUUGUCACUUUGUUCUGCAAUGUACUGAUUACAUACAUCUCCCAUCUGAGGUUUUUAUUUUAUUUUCUUUCACAUAGUGUAUCCAAUUUUAUUUUAUUUUAAAUAUAUAUUUCUAACAUAUCUUUUAAGGAAGAUUGCAUUUGUCACCCAGAAACAAAGUCUUGCAUGAUUUAGUCAAAUCUCAGAGUUGUGCUAUUCUUCUAGGAUUUUUAAAGGAGUAUGGACAAAGAAAAGUAAUAUAUGAUUUAAGAGGGAUUUAUAUCCAAAUUGUUGUGGAAAUCUGAAAGUGCAAACAUUGCUUCUAUAGGAAGAGUGGCUAUCCUGGUGUGCUCCAAUUGUCACUGAAAUGGGCUCAUAAUGCCAGAUCUUGCUUUUAAGC
rnacentral:lncRNA from 1 species